rnacentral:rRNA from 1 species
CAUGAACGCUAGCGGCAGGCUUAAUACAUGCAAGUCGUGGGGCAGCAUGAGUGUAGCAAUACAUUUGAUGGCGACCGGCAAACGGGUGCGGAACACGUACACAACCUUCCUAUAAGUGGGGAAUAGCCCAGAGAAAUUUGGAUUAAUACCCCGUAACAUAAUGAUGUGGCAUCACAUUAUUAUUAUAGCUUCGGCGCUUAUUGAUGGGUGUGCGGCUGAUUAGAUAGUUGGCGGGGUAACGGCCCACCAAGUCUACGAUCAGUAGCUGAUGUGAGAGCAUGAGCAGCCACACGGGCACUGAGACACGGGCCCGAAUCCUACGGGAGGCAGCAGUAAGGAAUAUUGGUCAAUGGACGCAAGUCUGAACCAGCCAUGCCGCGUGAAGGAUUAAGGUCCUCUGGAUUGUAAACUUCUUUUAUCUGGGACGAAAAAAGGCGAUUCUUCGUCACUUGACGGUACCAGAUGAAUAAGCACCGGCUAACUCCGUGCCAGCCGCCGCAGUAAUAC